rnacentral:lncRNA from 1 species
AAAUAUAAUCAUAAUGUGAUCAAUAUAUAAUAUUAUAUAGUUCAAUAUUAUUACAAGCUUCCCAGUGAGAUAUCGAUGAAUCCGGGGAGCAUCAAGUGAGAUCUAUUACAGAUGAUUCCUGAGGAUGAACACAAUGAAGCAAGAGCGUGACACAAAAAUUGAAGCUCGACCGGAAAGAUGACUCGAUAUGUAAAUUGCCGCAUAAGAAGAAGUCUCCGAGGAACCGACCCACUUAAGAUCAUCAGCCGGAAACCUAGCUAACUCAGAAAUAAGUGCCAUUUCAGAUCCACACUCAUAAAAAGUAGCUAGUACGAGAUCUUGCAUGUAUCGUGAUCUAUUGGCGUUGACUUGUAUUAUUUUCAUUAUUAAUGUCAGUAGUACCUUCACCAAUAUUAUCCAUAGACAUAAAUGCUUCUGGAGUACAUGUAACGUUGGUUGAACUAUUUGAAGACUAGUUUCUCAAAGUGAUCAAAGGACCAGGAGAACGAGGAGGACAAUCUUCACUACCGGCUCGAUGAUCAUGCGGUCUGGCAGCCUUCCGACACAAAGGUCAAUCCGGACGUCUCUUACAUUCUUUAAGUUUAUGCGAUGGAUCACCACAAUUGAAACAAGAACUAGCACGGUCAAUUAAGCUAGUAUAACGGUGCCAGGUAUGUCCCCUGGCGAAACAUCUGAAGCAUUUGGCAGGCCUAGAUAAUAAUUCUACCUUCACCGAGUUCAUCUAAUCAAGGUUGAUUACCUCAAGGUUUGAUAUUUUUAUUGCUGCGACUAACAAACAUUGAAGCCAUAUGACCCCAAGACCAUUCCUAGCAAGUCGAAUGGGACCACAGCGAACAUCAUCAAAAGAACAUCUGGUAAGAUUCAUUAUUUUCUGGAUUAUUUCAACUUUGACAGAAUCAUCGAACCCGCUCAUUCUAAUAUCCGCCAUUUUAUUUGUUAAUAUUAACAUUUGAAUCAUUAAUUAUUUCUUUCAUUUUUCUAGCAAGAUCAUCAGCCUUAAAUCCCGAUUAGAAUCUUCGCCUCUAACUUCUAGGAUGAAUCCACCUAAUAAGAUUCUCAUAUCCUCAAUGUUAAAACCUUUCAACGGUAUUUCCUUCCUGGCUUUGCUGAGAAUCGACGCGUAUGUGGACCCUCCGCUAUGACAGUUACAGCUGUUAAAUUGGGUGAAAUUUGCGCUUACCACCCGAAGUACCAGAGAGAGGCACGUGAAAUUGUCUAAAAGGCAUUUUCGAUAAUAUUGCAUCAAAAUUUCUAGGCGCCACUUAACAUCAAAAACCGAAGUGUGUUCAACAAUAACAGCAGGAGAAUCCAAGAUCGGAGAGCUACUUCUCACAGAACAACAACGGAUCCAAUGAAUCCGACACAACAGAAGGAGUCAAUAGAAGAAGGCCAACCAUUCUAUGAGAAGGAGAAAUCACCCGACAAGCCCCAUCAAUUCUGAGAGGGACAGCAAAAUCCAUAACCCCAUGCAUACGCUACACACUUCGAAUUGCAGAACUCGCAGCUUCAACUAGUAUAUUGCACUUAUGCCUACUAAUAUCUUCUCUAAGCUUCUUAAUAAUGUCCUUCAAUUCUUUAUUCUCUUCCCUAAUCCUGUUCAUUUCUUCUCGCAUUUCAGCCAUUUGCUUCCUAUAAUAUUCAUUAUUUCCAUCUCUAUUAGUCGAAGCUCUAAUCACAAGCUCUUCAACAUUACAUUUAAUAGACACAAAGUUCACCUAUAUCUUGCCACUAAUAAUAUCUUGCAGUGAUUCCGAACCUGUUCUUAGUGCAUCAGUCUCCGUAACCCAAUGACACGGACCGCAGCUGCUGUCGCCGAAAGAUCCUUCAAUUCAUUGACUCUAUCCGCGACUUCAUCUUUCUGAACCGGGGUGAGUCUAUUUCUAUCAGCAUCAGCAGGCAAAGAUUUCAUUUUUCUCUUUCUAGAUCGCUUUGUAAACAAAGGAGAAUGAUCAAACUUCCUAAUAUUCGAUAUCAAAUGCGUCGCGAUUCAAUUCCAUCUUCAUUAGAAUCGUCAAUGACGAUAGAACUGCCUGCAGCAGUAUCAAUAAUACCACAUGAGGUAGAUGCUUUGUCACGUUCAACAAACAAAGAAAAGUACGUUCUCCUAAUGAAGAUAUGUUUGUUUCAGAACUGUUGACAUUCCAAACUAAAACUGCCCAACGGAGGACUCUUUCGUUCGAAAUAAUUCUAGGAUGCACAUCCUCUGCAGUCAAGUCAAUAGCCACAUCAGUUGUUCCCCUACCAGUUGACGAGGCCCCAGCGGCAAGGACAGACCUACCAGGGUCAUGAUCCUCUCGGGAAGUACUCCCAAGAGGAUAUUCUCAAUUUCAUGCCCGUUGCUGGAGGACCGAGAUUAUAUUCUCAAUUUCAUGCCCGUUGCUGGACGACCGAGUCGGAACCAAGCUAAUCCCCCCCCCCUCUGCCAUUCCCCAGGUGUCCGAGUCCCUGAGGAUGAUAAAUCCUUCUUCUAUUCCAUAUCCAUUCCAUAUCCAUGAGUAAUUGGUUUUUUUUACAGAAAUUGCUGUCUACUGUCCCGCCAUACAACGCAGAUUGGGAAAUUCUAUGCAGUUCAUCAACCAAAAUAAUCCGUCUGGCAGAAAA